rnacentral:misc_RNA from 1 species
GAGACUGGAGACUGGAGACUUG